rnacentral:rRNA from 1 species
CCCAUUCCGAACACGGCAGUUAAGCUCUUCAGCGCCGAUGGUAGUUGGGGGUCUCCCCCUGUGAGAGUAGGACGCCGCCAAGC